rnacentral:rRNA from 1 species
CCCCCCACACUGGUACUGAGACACGGACCAGACUCCUACGGGAGGCAGCAGUGAGGAAUAUUGGUCAAUGGAGGCAACUCUGAACCAGCCAAGCCGCGUGAAGGAAGACUGUCCUAUGGAUUGUAAACUUCUUUUGUGGCAGAAUAAACUACCGUACUUGUACGGUAUUGCAUGUAUGCCAUGAAUAAAGCAUCGGCUAACUCCGUGCCAGCAGCCGCGGUAAUACGGAGGAUGCAGGCGUUAUCCGGAUUUAUUAGGUUUAAAGGGUGUUCAGCCUGCCUGGUAAGUCAGGGGUGAAAGUCGGUUGCUCAACGAUCGAAUUGCCUUUGAAACUGUCAGGCUCGAGUAUGGAUGCGGUAGGCGGAAUGUGUAGUGUAGCGGUGAAAUGCAUAGAUAUUACACAGAACACCGAUUGCGAAGGCAGCUUACCAAACCAGCACUGACGCUGAAGCACGAAAGCGUGGGGAGCGAACAGGAUUAGAUACCCUGGUAGUCCACGCCGUAAACUUUGCUCACUCGCUGUUGGCGAUAGACAGUCAGCGGCCAAGGGAAACCGAUAAGUGAGCCACCUGGGGAGUACGGCCGCAAGGUUGAAACUCAAAGGAAUUGACGGGGGCCCGCACAAGCGGUGGAACAUGUGGUUUAAUUCGAUGAUACGCGAGGAACCUUACCUGGGCUUAAAUGUGAAGUGCAUUGAUUGGAAACAAUCAUUUCCUUCGGGACCCUUUACAAGGUGCUGCAUGGUUGUCGUCAGCUCGUGCCGUGAGGUGUCGGGUUAAGUCCCAUAACGAGCGCAACCCCUAUUGUUAGUUACCAGCGCGUAAAGGCGGGGACUCUAGCGAAACUGCCGGUGUAAACCGCGAGGAAGGUGGGGAUGACGUCAAAUCAGCACGGCCCUUAUGUCCAGGGCUACACACGUGUUACAAUGGCCGGUACAGCGGGCAGCUAGGCAGCGAUGUCAUGCUAAUCCCGAAAGCCGGUCCCAGUUCGGAUUGGAGUCUGCAACCCGACUCCAUGAAGGUGGAAUCGCUAGUAAUCGCGCAUCAGCCAUGGCGCGGUGAAUACGUUCCCGGGCNUUGUACGCACCGCCCGUCAAGC